rnacentral:rRNA from 1 species
UACGUAGGGGGCAAGCGUUGUCCGGAAUCAUUGGGCGUAAAGAGCGUGUAGGCGGGCCGGUAGGUCUGGUGUGAAAGCCCGGGGCUCAACCCCGGAGGGUCACUGGAAACCACCGGUCUUGAAUCUGGAAGAGAAGAGUGGAAUUCCUGGUGUAGCGGUGGAAUGCGCAGAUAUCAGGAGGAACACCAAUGGCGAAGGCAGCUCUCUGGUACAUGAUUGACGCUGAGACGCGAAAGCGUGGGGAGCGAACAGG